rnacentral:rRNA from 2 species
UGGAUCCAGACUUUGAUUAUGGCUCAGGAUGAACGCCAGCUACAGGCUUAACACAUGCAAGUCGAGGGGAAACGAUAGAGAAAGCUUGCUUUUUCUAGGCGUCGACCGGCGCACGGGUGAGUAACGCGUAUCCAACCUGCCCACCACUUGGGGAUAACCUUGCGAAAGUAAGACUAAUACCCAAUAAUAUCUCAAGAAGACAUCUGAAUGAGAUUAAAGAUUUAUCGGUGAUGGAUGGGGAUGCGUCUGAUUAGCUUGUUGGCGGGGUAACGGCCCACCAAGGCGACGAUCAGUAGGGGUUCUGAGAGGAAGGUCCCCCACAUUGGAACUGAGACACGGUCCAAACUCCUACGGGAGGCAGCAGUGAGGAAUAUUGGUCAAUGGGCGAGAGCCUGAACCAGCCAAGUAGCGUGCAGGAUGACGGCCCUAUGGGUUGUAAACUGCUUUUAUAAGGGAAUAAAGUGAGAGUCGUGACUCUUUUUGCAUGUACCUUAUGAAUAAGGACCGGCUAAUUCCGUGCCAGCAGCCGCGGUAAUACGGAAGGUCCGGGCGUUAUCCGGAUUUAUUGGGUUUAAGGGGAGCGUAGGCCGGAGAUUAAGCGUGUUGUGAAAUGUAGAUGCUCAACAUCUGCACUGCAGCGCGAACUGGUUUCCUUGAGUACGCACAAAGUGGGCGGAAUUCGUGGUGUAGCGGUGAAAUGCUUAGAUAUCACGAAGAACUCCGAUUGCGAAGGCAGCUCACUGGAGCGCAACUGACGCUGAAGCUCGAAAGUGCGGGUAUCGAACAGGAUUAGAUACCCUGGUAGUCCGCACGGUAAACGAUGGAUGCCCGCUGUUGGUCUGAAUAGGUCAGCGGCCAAGCGAGAGCAUUAAGCAUCCCACCUGGGGAGUACGCCGGCAACGGUGCAACUCAAAUGAAUUGACGGA